UACGUAUGGUGCGAACGUUGUUCGGAAUCACUGGGCAUAAAGAGCACGUAGGCGGUCGAGCAAGUCCGGUGUGAAAUCCCCCGGCUUAACCGGGGAACUGCACCGGAUACUAUUCGACUAGAGUGCAGGAGGGGAGAGUGGAAUUCCAGGUGGAGCGGUGAAAUGCGUAGAUAUCUGGAGGAACGCCGGCGGCGAAAGCGACUCUCUGGUCUGCAACUGACGCUGAGGUGCGAAAGCUAGGGGAGCAAACGGG
rnacentral:rRNA from 1 species